rnacentral:rRNA from 1 species
GACAGAGGGUGCAAACGUUGUUCGGAAUUACUGGGCGUAAAGCGUGUGUAGGCGGCCAUGUAAGUCGGAUGUGAAAGCCCCGGGCUUAACCCGGGAAGUGCAUUCGAUACUGCGUGGCUUGAGUAUCGGAGAGGUUGGUGGAAUUCUCGGUGUAGAGGUGAAAUUCGUAGAUAUCGAGAGGAACACCGGUGGCGAAGGCGGCCAACUGGACGAAUACUGACGCUGAGGCGCGAAAGCCAGGGGAGCGAACGGG